rnacentral:rRNA from 1 species
GUCGAUGGCCAUGCCACCCUGAACAUGCCCGAUCUUGUCUGAUCUCGGAAGCUAAGCAGGAUCAGACCUGGUUAGUACUUGGAUGGGAGACCACCUAGGAAGACCAGGUGCUGUAGGUU